AUAAAAGCAUGUGUAUAUUUUCUAUGUCACUUUAAACAAAGCACCUCUCUGAUGUCCCUCACUGUGUCUGUCUCAUUUUUCUAAACUCUUGCUCCUCAAAGUGUGGUCUACAGACCAGUCACACAGGCAUCACCUGAAAGCUUAUUAGGAAUGCAAAACCAUGGCCGGGCGCUGUUGCUCUCAAAGUGCCUGUAAUCGCAGCACUUUGGGAGGCCGAGGCGGGCGGAUCACCUGAGAUCAGGAGUUCAAGAGCAGCCUGGCCAACAUGGUGAAACCUCGUCUCUACUAAAAAUACAACAACAACAACAACAACAACAA
rnacentral:lncRNA from 10 species